rnacentral:rRNA from 1 species
ACAUGCUUUACACAUGCAAGUCGAACGCAAAGAAGUUGGUGAAAAUCAAUUUUAGGAGUGGCGAACGGGUGCGUAAUACUUAGAAAGAAUGCCUUUAAAUUUAGUUAACGGGCUGUAUAGGAUUUAUCUUAUAUGGUUUAAAUGCUAAAUAAUAAUUUUCGUGAGAAAAUUAGAAAAGAUCAAAAAGAUAUGUAAAUAUAGAUCGUUUAAAGAUUUUUCUAGGGAGUUUUAGGUUGUUGGUAAGGUAAAAGCUUACCAAGCCGAUAAUGCUUAGCCGGUCUGAGAGGAUGAUCGGCCACAUUGGGACUGAGACAAGGCCCAAACUUAUAUAAGGCAGCAGUGGGGAAUCUUGGACAAUGGGAGAAGUCCUGAUCCAGCAAUGUUACUAGGGUGAUUAACGACUGUAAAAAGAACCAGGUCGUAAAACUCUGUUGCCAAGGAAAAUAAUGA